rnacentral:tRNA from 1 species
GGGCCCUUAGCUCAGCGGUUAGAGCAGUCGACUCAUAAUCGAUUGGUCGCUGGUUCGAACCCAGCAGGGCCCACCA